rnacentral:rRNA from 1 species
GAUGAACGCUAGCUACAGGCUUAACACAUGCAAGUCGAGGGGAAACGAUAGAGAAAGCUUGCUUUUUCUAGGCGUCGACCGGCGCACGGGUGAGUAACGCGUAUCCAACCUGCCCACCACUUGGGGAUAACCUUGCGAAAGUAAGACUAAUACCCAAUGACGUCCAUAGAAGACAUCUGAAAUGGAUUAAAGAUUUAUCGGUGAUGGAUGGGGAUGCGUCUGAUUAGCUUGUUGGCGGGGUAACGGCCCACCAAGGCGACGAUCAGUAGGGGUUCUGAGAGGAAGGUCCCCCACAUUGGAACUGAGACACGGUCCAAACUCCUACGGGAGGCAGCAGUGAGGAAUAUUGGUCAAUGGGCGAGAGCCUGAACCAGCCAAGUAGCGUGCAGGAUGACGGCCCUAUGGGUUGUAAACUGCUUUUAUAAGGGAAUAAAGUGGGAGUCGUGACUCCUUUUGCAUGUACCUUAUGAAUAAGGACCGGCUAAUUCCGUGCCAGCCGCCGCAGUAACAC